rnacentral:ncRNA from 2 species
AUACAACUUCACAUUUAUCUCUAUAUAAUUUUGGAAAUAGGGUCCAAUAAGUUUCUACCCGGCAACCGUUAAUUGCUGGACUAUAGGGAAGGUACGCAUUGUU